AGAAAAUAGAUACCCGGGUAGUCCCAGCCGUAAACGAUGCUCGCUAGGUGUCAGGCAUGGCGCGACCGUGUCUGGUGCCGCAGGGAAGCCGUGAGGCGAGCCACCUGGGAAGUACGGCCGCAAGGCUGAAACUUAAAGGAAUUGGCGGGGGAGCACAACAACGGGUGGAGCCUGCGGUUUAAUUGGACUCAACGCCGGACAACUCACCGGGGGCGACAGCAAUAUGUAGGCCAAGCUGAAGACUUUGCCUGAAUCGCUGAGAGGAGGUGCAUGGCCGUCGCCAGUUCGUACUGUGAAGCAUCCUGUUAAGUCAGGCAACGAGCGAGACCCGUGCCCACUGUUACCAGCAUAUUCUCCGGAAUGAUGGGUACUCUGUGGGGACCGCCUAUGUUAAAUAGGAGGAAGGUGCGGG
rnacentral:rRNA from 1 species